GGUAUUUUCCUUCAAGCAUCUGGAGCUUUUGAAGAACUGGGAUAGGAGAAAUCUACAUUUGAGGAAUCUAGGCUGCUGUUUAUGUAAUUUCCACCUUUGAGGGCUUCAGCUCCAUCUUCGCUGCCUGCGUGCUAGUCAUUUCUUUGUCAAGCUCAGUUUUAGUGAUUUUCAUUUCUCCCCCCCCAGGAAGGGGGUUUAACUGUGCAACAUAAUCAAUGCACUGAAGCCCAAAUUGGAGCUCUCUCUCACUACAGACGAGAUAGUUCAGAAAGGAAACGUCACAUGAAAAUUGUACAUUUCUUUCCACAGGCUUAGCAGAAACUACAUCCGGAUUCCUGCAGCUGAACAAGGUAACCGACUUUUGGACUUUUCCAUCCAGUUACCUCCUUCUGGCCACAGGACCACUUCUCUGCCAGGAGGAGGCGACCCUUCAGGCGGACGGGGCACACAUUCUGUGACCAGAAAGGAAAAAGAAAAAUGACAGGGACUCACUUUCCAAGAAAUUACACUAUGUUCAAUGACUUCCCAUCAAGAGUAAGCGAUGUUCCGUAUCCUGCCAUUGAAUGAACUUAAACCUCAGCUCUUUUUGGGAACUGGAACCACACUAUUGGCCUUCCUGGUUCUCAGGCCUUUGGGCUUAAGCUGGAACCUCAGUCAACAAGUCUCCUGGGUCUCCAGCUGGCUGACUGAAGAUUUUGAGACUUACUCUCCAUAAUCAGAAUGAAGGGGCUGAAAUCUGGGCUUUGCCAGAAGAAUAUCUGAGUUGCCCUUCCCGGAGGAGUUAGGAGAUGAGCACCAUCUUGGGACCAGGACAGCCGAGCCAGCCUUUCUCCUGGGACCCUGCUCUGCCGGACCGUCUCGCCUGGUUGGAAUGACUGGACACCCGGCCUGGCGGGCACUCCGCUACCUUCACACCACGCGGCACAGAGCUCGGGUUUCUGGCGACUCCAGCACUUGGAAUAACACUGUUGUUCAGGUCGUAGCCAAUCGCGCUGUCACGCGGCGACUCACGGGAGGAAGGGCACCGCAUUCAACACCGAAUCUGAACUGCUGCUUCCUGGCUGUGGAAAGUCUGGUCCGUUCCCUACAGCACCGGGGGCUUGGGAGGGGGCGGGAGUGCCCAGACCGUAGAGCCGAAGGGCUCGGGCAGGGGCGGGUAUUGCUCAGCUGUGCCGCUCAGGAGCUGGCUCCCAGCACUCUUUGAGGUUCAUGGCCGUGGUCCCCAGAGUUCCCGCGGACCAGGAACCAUGAGGUCAUGCUCAGUCUCCUGGGAGAUUUGCUGCGUAGAAGCAUCCCCCCUGGUCCACCACCACGUGUGGCAGCACCGAGGGAGGCUGCCCCGGAACCCCGGAUGAGGGGCCUCACACUUGGGGAACCUCGGCCAUGUUCCAUCAAAGGGCUGUCCUGCUUCGCUAGUGACUGAGGAUAAUCUCUCCCCACCCUCCCCGACCAGGGCUGGCGGAGGGCUUGGUCGGUCUCCCUCUCCGCCCAGGAACAGCAAGAUGAGAGUAGGGCUGGAGAUCAAGCACACGGUCGGGCAGUGCUUUUCCAACUGGCUGUUGCAGAGCCCUUGGGUCAGGACCGGGACUUUAGGAUGUGCCCCCUGGCAGAGGGGCCGGUCAGGGGGGUUCCGCUUGGAGAGUCUCGCCCUGCCAGCUUCAACCAGAGCAGCCUGGCUUUCAACCCCAUGCUGACCUUCCUGCCUCCAACUGCGCUUCGUAAACAAAAGUCUGCUGCUCAAAAUAAAAGUUUGAGAAUCACUUGUCUGGGGGACGGGGUCACUGGAAGGGACGACAAGGAACCUGCAGGCUUUGAGGAUCAACCAAAAGAGACAUUAACAAAAAAGCUGUAAGUGCCGAGCUCCAACCGAGGUGGGAGAAGGAACCGGAGAAUCAAGACUGAGACCCAGUAGAGGACAGCGAGGACAGCAACCAAGCCCGGCACGGUCAUUUCAGUCAGCAGCAAGCAGCACUGCGGGACUAAGCUGGGUGUGACUGCGGGCAAGGGGUGGGCACACUGCCCCUCGGGCCAGGUCAGGCCCACCAUGUAUUGCUGUAAAUAAAGCUUCAGCAGCACCCGGC